rnacentral:rRNA from 1 species
GAUGAACGCUGGCGGCGUGCCUAAUACAUGCAAGUCGAGCGAACAGAUGAGGAGCUUGCUCCUCUGACGUUAGCGGCGGACGGGUGAGUAACACGUGGAUAACCUACCUAUAAGACUGGGAUAACUUCGGGAAACCGGAGCUAAUACCGGAUAAUAUAUUGAACCGCAUGGUUCAAUAGUGAAAGACGGUUUUGCUGUCACUUAUAGAUGGGUCCGCGCCGCAUUAGCUAGUUGGUAAGGUAACGGCUUACCAAGGCAACGAUGCGUAGCCGACCUGAGAGGGUGAUCGGCCACACUGGAACUGAGACACGGUCCAGACUCCUACGGGAGGCAGCAAUAGGGAAUCUUCCGCAAUGGGCGAAAGCCUGACGGAGCAACGCCGCGUGAGUGAUGAAGGUCUUCGGAUCGUAAAACUCUGUUAUUAGGGAAGAACAAAUGUGUAAGUAACUAUGCACGUCUUGACGGUACCUAAUCAGAAAGCCACGGCUAACUACGUG